CCGGAGUAGUUUUAUUGUUCUUAAUCUGAUUACACAGCUUAGCUGUCAAAAGUAUAGAAUAUGGAUAUUGGCACAGGUUGGACUGUGUCUGGAGGAAUUUUGCACAUUGCUUCAGAGUAUGUUGGUGCUAUUUAAACAAUUAUAAGUAAGUAAACGUCAGAGCUAAAAUCGUGGCAAUCUUGCCUUAAGCAAUUUGUAUACACAUUCCUUGUUUAAAACAGAAGUUAUUAAAUUAUGUUACUUGAAACAAUAUUAUACAAAAAUCACAGGGUUCUGUAGCCAAAAAUAUUGUAUUCUGACUGUGAAAAAGUGUAUAAAGAAAUCCUAAAAGGGCAUAAAAUUAUUGUAGUUUAGUUCACGUCACCUGUGGCAUAACAUUUACCGAGAUGUAUGUACAGUAUUUUGAGUAGUAACUAAUACUAUAUGGUUGCAGGACUAAACCUUCUCAUUGUAUGUCAACACAAAUAACAACGGACUUCAAUCACUAAACACUGCAUUGUGGUGAAUUAAAAAACGGAUUGCAAGACUUGGUCAGAAAUAUCUGAUUUGGAAUAAUUAUCCAACUCCGCCAUAGACAUCCUUGGAUAAUAUAUAUAGAUAUAUAUCUCUGCAAUUUAGUUUGGCGUUCACUACCAUCCAAUGUUUAAUGAAUAAAAAGAAAAAGAAUUGCACAACUUUAGGAUAUUUGCUUGUAAAAUGCGUCGGCAGCAAACAAACUCCACUGAAAAUUAUACAAUUACCUCUCCUGUACCGUACGGAUUGAUAUGCUGACGCAACAAAUUAAUUAGAUGACGUGUAGUAUAAUUCGGAUCAGUCUGCAGGAUUAUUUAGGACUGUAAUGUGGAUUAUAAUAAUGCAAGACCCGGAUGGCCGAUCUAUGCACCAACAGGGCAAGGAUUUACAAAACGAUUGUGUGGUACAGGGAAUAAUUAUUAUUGAGAUUUUUUUUGUUACUUUAUUCCUUGCUUUUUAGCUACUGAUUACAUCAUUACGUGUAACACUAAAAAAAUGUAAACACUGGGAUGGUGGCACUGGAUAUAGUUUUGGUAUUUUGUGAGUCUUGCACCCCUGGCUUUUCAGAACAGAAUAGAACAUACUUUGUUUAAAAUAGUUCUAUUUUUUUGUAGUCCC